UUAGUGGUUUCUUCAGACUUCUGGAGCCUCGAUUGGUCAGCCGCCUGUUCAUGUCCCCUACUCAUCUUCAUCAACUCCAAAAGUGGAGAUCAUCAAGGAAUCAUUUUACUCAGAAAAUUCAAGCAAUACCUUAACCCAUCUCAAGUGUUUGACCUGACAAAGGGUGGACCUGAAGCAGGGCUGUGUAUGUUCAAGAACUUUGCUCGCUUUCGCAUUGUGAUUUGUGGUGGAGAUGGCAGUGUGAGCUGGGUCUUAUCUCUGAUUGAUGUCUUUGGAUUACAUGAAAAGUGUCAGCUUGCAGUCAUCCCGCUUGGAACCGGCAAUGAUUUGGCCCGUGUCCUGGGCUGGGGUGCAUUCUGGAAUAAAAACAAGUCACCCCUGAACAUCCUC